rnacentral:rRNA from 1 species
GACGAACGCUGGCGGCGUGCUUAACACAUGCAAGUCGAACGGAAAGGCCUAGCUUGCUGGGUACUCGAGUGGCGAACGGGUGAGUAACACGUGGGUGAUCUGCCCCUGACUUUGGGAUAAGCCUGGGAAACUGGGUCUAAUACCGGAUAUUCAUUUUUCCUCGCAUGGGGAUUUGUGGAAAGCUUUUGCGGUUGGGGAUGGGCCCGCGGCCUAUCAGCUUGUUGGUGGGGUAAUGGCCUACCAAGGCGACGACGGGUAGCCGACCUGAGAGGGUGAUCGGCCACACUGGGACUGAGACACGGCCCAGACUCCUACGGGAGGCAGCAGUGGGGAAUAUUGCACAAUGGGCGCAAGCCUGAUGCAGCGACGCCGCGUGAGGGAUGACGGCCUUCGGGUUGUAAACCUCUUUCAGCUACGACGAAGCGCAAGUGACGGUAGGAGCAGAAGAAGCACCGGCCAACUACGUG